GACGAACGCUGACGGUGUGCUUUAGGCAUGCAAGUCGAACGAGAAAGCCCUUCGGGGUGAGUAAAGUGGCGAACGGGUGAGUAACACGUGGGCAACCUGCCCCUCGCAGGGGGACGAACCGGAGGAAACUCCGGCUAAUACCCCGUAAGCUUUCAGGGUCGCAUGAUCCUGUAAGGAAAGGUAGCUUCGGCCAUCCGGCGAGGGAUGGGCCCGCGGUGCAUUAGCUAGUUGGUGGGGUAACGCCCACCAAGGCGACGAUGCAUAGCUGGUCUGAGAGGAUGAUCAGCCACACGU
rnacentral:rRNA from 1 species